rnacentral:piRNA from 1 species
UCCUGGCUGGUACCUGCUGCCUCGGCCUUGA